AUAUAUAUAUAUAUGUGUGUGUGUUAUGUGUUCCAUUUGUAUAUGUAUAUAUAUGUGUUCCAGUUUUAAUUGCUUGAGUGUUCAGGGUUAAAAUGAAACCCCUAUUCCAGCAUUUAUCAAAUGUUUGAAUACAAUGUAAAAAUGAUUGAAAAAUAUUAAAAAUAAAGAUAAGAUAUAAUUUCUAUAAAAAGAAGGAAAAAAAAAUCCAUCCAUAUUUCAAAUAAGUUUAAGUAGAGGCAAUGGCCUAAUUUUGUCCAAAUUGGUAACCAUACUGCUAUGUAUUUUUAUUGUUUUAAAACAGUUUAACUGUAACUGCUAAGAAAUAACUUAGAACUAAUUCCUAUAGGUAGUUGGAGCUUGGUAAUUGUGUAAUCUAGAUAGGUAGAUACUAGUAUUUCCACUAAUUAAAUGCCAGUAGCAGCAGCAGACAUUCAUUUGUGUAUUCUGUAUCUAUAGGUAUGUUUUUUUGUUGGUUUUUUUUUUUGAAAUUUUUCUUUUGAAUAAUAUUUAAAAUUCAUUAAAAAAAUUAUCUAACAUUUAUUAUGGCCAUUUAUUUAAUAUGGCUGUUUCUUUUUGAUUCAAGAUGGCACAGUUUAAAUCUAAAGAACUUCUUAAUCAUUUUAAUUUCCCCACUGACAGUUUUUGUUCUCAGCCUAAGUGGUUUUAGAUUUUUUAUAAAAAAAAGUAAAAUUUUGGGGGAAAAUAAAGAAUUUACAUUUUUCUAUGGAAUCUUUUGAAUGAAAGUCCUCACUCACAAUAAUUCUAUCAACAGAUCUAUUUUGGAGCAGUAUUCUACCAAAUGUACUUUCCUGUGUUUUCAUAAGUCUGACUGAAAAAUCAAAGAAAUAUGUCCCUUCCCAUUCAUUGGAUUGUUGGAAUCACGGGGAGCUGUCUUUGAAUGUGUCAGGGUUAAGUCACUAAGCUUAGUUCUUUGUACAGAAUCUAAUAAAAGGAAAUGGUUAGUCCAGAAAUUGAAAUUCGUUCUGCAGACUUUAUAUGUCAGGAAAAAAAAAACUAUCAAUCUAUAAUAUUUGUAUCUAUGUCAGUAUACUUUUAUUAGAAAGCUUGUUUGUGUAUAUUUAGGUCAGUAAAACUGUGUAGUACAUACAGUACAUCAUCUUACUAAAUACUUUAGGCUUGUGGAAGUAACUGAUGCAGUACAGCAUCAUAUAAUGGAAGUGGUACAGCACAGCAUUUUACUAAAAAUUUUGCUCAGCUUUCAUUGCUUUAUAUUUUUUGGUCAGUAUCAGCAAGGGGUUGACCUCCCCUUCGUCUGGAAUCUAUAAAGUACCAGUUUCAUUCAGCUAUGUUGCUUUCCUACAAACAAUUGACCUUUGAAAUGUAUGUGUGGACCAAGGAAGAGAGUGCAAUUAAUAUAUUUAAUUUCCUUUUCAUUCAUCUACUGUACCGUGUUAAUAUAGGUUCGACAAAUCCACAAAUUCAUAAGUUUACACAAGUAAACAGAAGGCAUAACAUUGUUACUUGUGUUAAUGUGUAUUGUUACUUUGAUAUGUAUUUAUAGCUCAGUGGGUCUUGAUAUUUACAAGUUGUAGCUGUAUAGCUUCAUUGUUAGCUCUAAAGGCACAGGUAGCCAACCAAAUAGGUGUGACAAUAAAAUUAACAUUAUAAAUAACUGAAAAAUUAUAUUUAUCAGUGUUCAUGGGCUCAACAAAGUGUUUUUUAAAUCAUACCUGAGAAUGAUAAUGGUUUUCACUAUAACAACUUAGCUGGAAUAUAAUUUAGAUUUUUGGUAAUGUCUAGGAUAAUUCUAUUAAGGUUAUUUGGUCAUUAUUUAGUUAAAGCUGUUUUGAAGCUUCCACAAUUGUUCUCAAAGUAAGGGUUGCUGCUUUCCUGGAGACAUUACUGUUGCCUCAUGAGUAAAGAAAUUCUUAAGGUAGAAUUGGAUGUAUUAUUGUCAUCCGUUUCAAAUGUUCUGUAGUAUUCUAGUGUUGUGUGACAAAUUCUUCAGGAUAAUGCUGUAGAGUAGGAUUGAGGCAAAGGACAAGAGGUAUAAAACCAAGGAGACUGGACUGAAAAUGUUUGGGAUUUACUGAUCCUUAUUAUUAUCAUCUUUUUAAGCUUGAACCAUUUUAUUGAUUUCAUAUGUUUGUUAUUUUUUUUUUUUUUGUUACAUAGUCUUCAAACUAUAAGUUCUGACUCACCAUAUUGCAUAUAUCAGACCCUGCCAUCUGAGUUAUUUAUUUUUUAAUAAAACAAAAAGUUACUGCUGAUGUCAAAAUAUUUUUUGAGAAUGGUCUGCUGCUAUUUGCAACUCCAAUGUGCUUUUGAUUUAAAAAUAUUUAAAAGAAUUGUUUUUAAUGUUUAGGAAAUUUACUGAAACUUUUUAGUGAUAUUCACUUUGAUUGAAUAUUAUUGUGAACCUGCUAGGUUUAAGAAUCGCCUAAAAUAAUCCUUUUUUAUAAAUAACUGAGAAAUUAUAUUCAUUAACGACAAUAGCAUUUAGCAGAUUUAUUUUUAUGUCUGCUCAGCAUCAUAACUAAUUCCAUUAAAUUUAACUCUCCACUCCACCAUUUCCCACCCACCCCUAUUUAUAACCUAAAAGCUGUGUGAAUUCCAUAAUCCAUUAGGUGGUAGGGUUUCCAUAUGGAAGACUUAGAUUACAUGUGGUCUGUCUAUGGACAUGUCUGCUUGAAGAAGGUUAAUCUGCUUCUAAUGACACUUGUGGAAAGAGUAAGCUGUGUUUCACUCUGGUAUGUAUUGAUAGCUCAGUGGGUCUUGGUAUUUACAAGUUGUAGCUGUAUAGCCUCAUGUUAGCUCUAAAUGCACAGGUAGCCAAUCAAUUAGGUGUGACAAAAUUAACAUUAAAAAAGUAAGUCUAUUGGCCACAGACACAGUUCAAUGAUUGUGACAAAAUACAAGUUAUUGACUGUUUGAUAAUCUAUUAAUUUGGCUAUGGCUUCUAACAUAAAAGAUAACUUGGCAUUUUGUUUUCACUUUGUGGGUCUAGAGAAAGGAACAGUGCUUAUAGCUUUUGCUGGCCCUCCAAGAAUUGUGAGAUUAAGCUACAGGGAAAACAUGAUCAAAGGGGAGACUCCAGAGGACUGAUGUCCUGGAGAAGAAGGAUUAAGCAUAGUGGUUAGUGCAGGCCUUAGGUAGGUUUCUAGAGAUAAGUGGGUCAGGAGUGCUUGAAUGGAGGAAGUACAAUACCAAGGAAUGGUGGCUAUUAUAAACGGUUCCAGUGUCUGCACUCUUAAGAGAACUGUUACUUUCUCCAUGACUAGGAAGGAAUAACACAUCUCUCUCUCUGUUCUUGCAUUUAGGUUUCAAGGGGCUGAUCUUUUAACUCUUAGUUGCUAGCAGUUGAGCUAUGAGGUCAAUGUGAUUGACUAGCCUUCUCCCACAAAAUUUCAAGUCUUGUACUUGUACAGUAGAAAGGAUUUUGAGCUCAAAUUCCACCUUCAUAAUUUUUUUAUUUCCAUCAUUCUAUAGUAUGCAUAAGAAACUUAUAAAUUAAGUACCAGUUAUAUAAUUAGACCAAUUCAAUAAUAACACUCACUCUCCUUCAAACUUGUGUCCACUCAGAAGAGAUGUUCUAACAUGUAAUAAUGAUUAUUGUUAUUGUCAUUAUCAUUUAGUAAUUACAGCUGUCUUAUUAGUUAAUUAUAAAAUAAAACAUCUAUCAUUUAGUUUAAACUAUCACUGGUAUUUACAGUAGUAAUAUCAUCUCAUUAGUUAACUAUAAUAAUAAUAAUAAAACUGAUAUCAAUAAUUUAAAAUAUCACUGGUAUUUAUAACUAAUUAUUAGUAACAUCAUGUGUAAUUACUAGUAAUAUCAUCCCUAAUUAAUAUCUAUAAUUACAUGUUUGUUGCAGUAGUACAAGUUUAUUAUUUGAACACUUUUACCAACUAGUUGCAGUCAAUAAUGGGUAGUUUUUUCCACUAGUUUCCCUGUUAUUUAUUUAUUACCUUCUGCUCCGUAUUAGUUAUGGUAUUGUACAGGCAGUCAUAACUUAAUUAAUACUAAUUAGGUUAAUCACUAUCACCGUCAAUUGCCUUUUUAUUGUAAAUUUCAUUAGAAAUAUUUAAAUGACUAUGUAAUAUUUAGUUUAAGUGUGGAAGGUUAGCUUUUCCAUACUAAAUUAAGCU